rfam:Neorickettsia helminthoeca str. Oregon, complete genome.
GGAGGGAUGGCUGAGUGGUCAAAAGCAGCAGACUGUAAAUCUGCCGACGUGAGUCUACGUAGGUUCAAAUCCUUCUCCCUCCA